rnacentral:sRNA from 1 species
AUGCACAAGGCGGGGCAGCUAGGCCUCUGUGCCCGGGCAUGGAAGUUGGUGCGGAUGGCCAGCUCCGGGAUGACCCGCCGGGACCCACUCACAAAUAAGGUGGCCCUGGUAAUGGCCUCUACGGACUGCUUACAGAGUCAAGUCCCUGGGAACUUCAGGAAGCAGCCCACCAUGUUUCAACCACUUACUAUGUGCAAUUUCCUGUGUUCAGAGCCUUACACAAGUUAUCUCUAGACCUGACAACAACCCAAGCAAGGCAAGGACUAUUCUCUCAGUCUGCAGACGCUGGCUCAGAUAGCUGGAGCAACUGCCCAAGGUCCCACAGCCAGUAAGGAAAGACCCAGACCUCCCAAGCUCCCUUCCUUUAUUGGCUGCCUAUGGACUACUGGCUCUGGAUGGACAAGGAAAAAGAGGAAAGCAUGAAAGAAACCCUGCAGAUAAGAAGGUUAGGCGAGCCAGAGGAUUGUGCUGGCAUCGUGUCUUUCCUGUGCUC